rnacentral:rRNA from 1 species
GACGAACGCUGGCGGCGUGCCUAAUACAUGCAAGUCGAACGCAGUGGGGAUGGGUGAGUAACACGUGGGUAACCUCCCAUCAGAGGGGAUAACACUUGGAAACAGGUGCUAAACCGAUACUGAUGGAUGGACCCGCGGGGCAUUAGCUAGUGGGUGGGGUAACGGCUCACCAAGGCCACGAUGCAUAGCCGGUCUGAGAGGGUGAUCAGCCACACUGGGACUGAGACACGGUCCAGACUCCUACGGGAGGCAGCAGUAGGGAAUAUUCGACAAUGGACGAAAGCCUGACGCAGCAAUGCCGCGUGAGUGAAGAAGGUCUUCGGGUCGUAAAACACUGUUGGUAGAGAGGCGGUAUCUAACCAGAAAGCAACGGCUAACUACGUGCCAGCAGCCGCGGUAAUAC